CAAGAGGCCGAAAGGCUGCUUAAAACCAUCGCGAACUGUUCCAAGUUGCUUCGGCGGCGCGGGGCCCCUCACAGGGCGCCGCAGCCCGGCCUCUCCGGAGGUGGGCGCCCGCCGGAGGUACGAAACUCUCCUGUAUUCCAGCGGCAUCUCUGAGUAUAAAGCAAAUAAGUCA
rnacentral:misc_RNA from 1 species